rnacentral:rRNA from 1 species
UAAGCGGAGGAAAAGAAACUAACAAGGAUUCCCCUAGUAACGGCGAGUGAAGCGGGAAGAGCUCAAAUUUAAAAUCUAGUUUGCUUGCAACUCGAGUUGUAGUCUGAAGAAACGUUUUCCAUGAAAGCUGAGGCACAAGUCCUUUGGAACAGGGCAUCAUAGAGGGUGAGAAUCCCGUCUUUGGCACGGAUGUACCAGGGCUUUUGUGAUGCGCUCUCGAAGAGUCGAGUUGUUUGGGAAUGCAGCUCAAAAUGGGUGGUGAACUCCAUCUAAAGCUAAAUAUUGGCGAGAGACCGAUAGCGAACAAGUACCGUGAGGGAAAGAUGAAAAGCACUUUGGAAAGAGAGUGAAACAGUACGUGAAAUUGUUGAAAGGGAAACGCUUGAAGUCAGUCGCGUCGACCGAGACUCAGCCUUGCCUCGGCUUGGUGUACUUCUCGGCUGACGGGUCAGCAUCAAUUUUGCCCCUUGGAUAAUGGCGAGGGAAAUGUGACACCUUUACGGUGUGUUAUAGUCUUUCGUCGCAUGCAAGGGUUGGGAUUGAGGAACUCAGCACGCGCCCUCGGGCGUCGGGGCUUUGCCCACGAUACGUGCUUAGGAUGUUGGCGUAAUGGCUUUAAACGACC